AGAAAGAAAUAGAGAAAAAAAGAAAGAAAGAAGAUAACUAAGCCAUUACAAAACGAGGCCAGUAUCAUGUCUGGUGGGAGCAAUGUCCAGCCACACAAAACAGCUAUUCUGGAACUUUCAGAACAGGACUAUAUCUGUCCUAGAACAACACAGGAGUUAGAGGUGCUGACCUCCCCCCCCCACCUCCACUUCCAUACAGUCUGCACAUAAC